GACGAACGCUGGCGGCGUGCUUAACACAUGCAAGUCGAACGGAAAGGCCCUGCUUUUGUGGGGUGCUCGAGUGGCGAACGGGUGAGUAACACGUGAGUAACCUGCCCUUGACUUUGGGAUAACUUCAGGAAAAUGGGGAUAAUACCGGAUAGGAGCUCCUGAUGCAUGGUGGGGGUUGGAAAGUUUCGGCGGUUGGGGAUGGACUCGCGGCUUAUCAGCUUGUUGGUGGGGUAGUGGCUUACCAAGGCUUUGACGGGUAGGCGGCCUGAGAGGGUGACCGGCCACAUUGGGACUGAGAGACGGCCCAGACUCCUACGGGCGGCAGCAGGGGGGAAUAUUGCAGAAUGGGCGGAAGCCAGAUGCAGCAACGCCGCGUGCGUGAUGACGUCCUUUGGGUUGUAAACCGCUUUCGAAUUUAACGAAGAGUGAGUGACGGUAAUGGGUAAAGAAGCACCGGCUAACUACGUG
rnacentral:rRNA from 1 species